UACGGAGGGUACAAGCGUUGUCCGGAAUCACUGGGCGUAAAGGGCGCGUAGGCGGCUCAUGAAGGCUGUGGUGAAAGUCCGGGGCUCAACCUCGGAUCGGCCGUGGCGACUCGUGGGCUGGAGCACUGUAGAGGCGGGUGGAAUUCCGGGUGUAGCGGUGGAAUGCGUAGAGAUCCGGAAGAACACCAGUGGCGAAGGCGGCCCGCUGGGCAGUGGCUGACGCUGAGGCGCGACAGCGUGGGGAGCAAACAGG
rnacentral:rRNA from 1 species